ensembl:snoRNA small nucleolar RNA SNORD100
GGUAUUGCUGAUGACAGUUUGGCUCCCUCUACUGAGUACUGUGAGGAAAACGGCCAUCGUUACCCAAGUCUGUCUGAGAUACU